rnacentral:misc_RNA from 1 species
AACUUCCACCUGGCUUACCUCCUCAUUUAUGUUUCAAGGUUUGUAUCGUCUUGAGCAUAUUGUGGGUUUCCUGUGCUGUCUACCUAGUUGACGGUAUAAUUCUGAUUUAUCGAAGUCCCUUUUCAUCUUGUGUUGCUUUUGUGACUUAUGAUGAACCUUGAAACGGUCUCUAUGAUCCAUCCUGUUGAUGCACAUGUAUUGAUGGUGUGGCCCAUUGAGUGUAGCUUGGUAUCCUGAAUACAGAACAUGAAGUGGGCUUGGAGUCUUUUACGGCUCUCGUAUUGUCCUCGUUCAGUGUUCUUUUAAACGACGGUUCAUGCGCGCCUAGGCUCGUACCUGCGUGAUGAACUUUGUCAAAGAGGAAUGCUACCUGGUUGAUCCUGCCAGUA